UACGUAGGGACCGAGCGUUGUCCGGAAUCAUUGGGCGUAAAGAGCGUGUAGGCGGCUAUUUAAGUCCUGCGUGAAAUCCUGCGGCUCAACCGCAGACGGUCGUGGGAAACUGGAUGGCUAGAGUGCGGGAGAGGAGAGUGGAAUUCUCGGUGUAGCGGUGAAAUGCGCAGAUAUCGGGAAGAACACCCGUGGCGAAGGCGGCUCUCUGGGACGGUACUGACGCUGAGACGCGAAAGCGUGGGGAGCGAACAGG
rnacentral:rRNA from 1 species